rnacentral:lncRNA from 1 species
AAUAUUCUCAGCAGCUUUAUUUGUAAUAGCCCCAAACUAGAAAACCAAAUGUCUAUCAACUAGUGAAUGGAGAGACAAACUGCUAUACAUUCAUACAGCAGACUACUACUCAGUAAGAAAAAGGAAUGAGCUCCUGAUACAUGCAACAAAAUAAUUAUGAUGAGUGAAAUAAGCCAGAAAUAAAAAAGAGUACAUAUUUUAUGAUUCUAUUUACGCAAAACUCUAGAAAAUGCAAACUAAUCUAUAGUGACACAAAUAGGUUAACGGUUGCCUGGGGAUGAGAAUAGAGAUUGAGGAGAGAGAAAGAAGGGAUUAUAAAGGGAAACAAGGAGCCUUUUGCAGAUAGAGAUAUGGUCAUUAUCUUGGUUGUGGUGCUGGUUUCAUGAGGGUAUUCACCUGUCAAAACUUAUCCAAUUGUUCACUUUAGGUUUGUGCAGUUUAUUGUAUGUCAAAUAUACCUUGAAUAGUGCUGUAAAAAACAUUCUCAGACUCCACCCCAGGCCUGCCGAAUCAGAAACAGUGGGAGUGUGCCCCGAAAUUUGUGUUUCAACAAAUACUGCAGGCGAUUCUGAUGCAUGGCAAUGUCUGAGACACAUGACUUAGGUGAUAAACUUUCCAUCAGGUGGUUGAAAUAAGGCUCUGGACUGGAGUAUAGAUUUGAGAGUCACCCGCUCGAAGGUCAUCGCUGAAAUUGUAGGAUGACAGGAUUUAGGGUGUAAAAAACAGAAAGCAAGAGGUGGGGACUAGAAAAAACCUAUCCUCAGGAAACAGAAGGAAAAGGAGAAGCAGGUGAAAGAAGCAAGGAAGGACUAACAGAUGCCAAGGAAGGUAUUUUGAGAUAGGGGGUGAUCAAUACCGAGGAUACCAUUGAGGUUAACAUAUCUGCAUAAGUGCUGUCCAGAAAUUAGUGCAUUAAUCAUGCCAGGACUGGGCAGGCAGACAUUAAUAAUAGUACACCUGGAAGGCAGCACAGUUGCAGGGAGGAGCCCAGGAUUUGGAGUUGAACAGGUCUGGGUAGAAUCUAGCUCCUUCGAUUACUCAUGUGUCUAUUUUGCUAAGUUUCUUGCAGUGAGUCUCUAUUUUCUUGUUUUCAAAAUGGAGAUCAUUCUACCCACUAACAGGAUGGAAUAUGUGUGGUAUGUAAAAUACUCAAACCGAAUGACUUGCAAAGUUGUUCGUUUCUUUAUGUUCUUCACCUCCUUCUCAUGAUUCCUCAUCUUACAUAAAAAGAAACGGAGGUCCAGAGCGAGGGAGUGAUAUACCUCAGGUCGCAGGACUCAAUUUGGAAGCACAUUCCUGAACUGAAACCCAUGGGAGCACUGGACAGAUCCACAGAUGUGCCAGGUGUGAGACUCCUGAGAUUAUACGCAGACUGGAUAUGAAUGCAUGAUGCAUGUUUUUCCUGGAGCAAAUGUUCAUUAUUUUCAUUGGCAUCUCCAAGGGAUCCAGUAUCUGGAAAGGUUAAGAACUGCUGCCUCCUCAUAUUCUCAGCCAUCCUUCUUUCCAUCACACAUCUUCCAGAGCAUAGUUUUACUAUUUCUCUGUGACUGACCAGUCUGCACAUCAGGAAACUUGCUUCAUGGUCUCGCCUCAGAUCAUUCAUUCACUCCGUAAACAGCUGCUGAUCACCUGCAGGUCCAGUCGGCACCAUAUAUCUGGUACAGGGAAGGACCCCAACAUGGAAGAGGAUCCCAGCUUGAAGGAGCUUGCAGUAGGUAGAGGAGGAGGCCAGGGACAGAGAUAACUAUGAGAGGUAGAGUCAGUCUAUGAUGGAAACAUGAGAGAAGGGGCACAAGCAAAGGUCAUCUGGGAAGACUGCAUUUGGACUGUCCCGGCAUGCACUUUGGUGGCUCUCUCCAUCCAUAGGUCUGUCCACUCAGAGAUGUACAGCCCUCAGCUUCAUUUUUAUUCUUCAAACCAUCACAAUUUGCCUUCCACCUACCACUUUGAUGAAAUGCUCUCUUCAAGGUCAACCUCCAGGAAACCCUUGCUCUCUUCAACAGACCUUGCCACUUUGGAGCUCUGAGACACUGACCUGUAUUGGCUGAUACAUGUGGGGUCUCCUUCCUCCCUUGGCUUUCAUGAAGCAGCAUCUGCUUCUUUCUCCUGCUCCUCUGGGAUCACUUCUGUCUCACUCCCAAGCUCCCUUUAAUGAUGGUGUUUGCCCUACUUCAUCCACAGCCCACAACUCAUCCCUUUCCAUGUGCUCACCCCAGUGACCUCAUCCAGGGCCAUGGCUCCCCUGACCACAUUCACACAGUCCCCACAAUUUUUUUCUCAUCCAGCCUUUCUCAAAGCUCAAUUCUGAACACCUUAUCAGCAUCUCCAGCUGAAUUCCUUAAGAAUCUCCAUUUCGACUCAUCCACCAUGAGCUUACCACUUCCCCCAAAUGCAUUUGUGUUUCCCAGAAUCUUUCACCCAACCAGAAACCUUGGAGUCAUUGUGAAUGCCAUCUUUUUCAUCACCUCGUUCCUCCAAGCAAUCACUAAGUCCUAUGACUUUUACCUCUCAGAAGCUUUUAAACUGGUUUCUCCUUUUACACCUCUGCGGCCUGUCCUAGUUAUGGCCUUACCAUAUCUUUUUUGAAUAUCUGCAGUAGCCAGCUCUUUCUCCUGGCCUCUGCUCAUCCCAAUCCAGCCUGUAACAGCUAAUAACAGCAGCUAAUCUUCACCAGGGGUUGCCACAUGCCAGUUCUCUCCAUGUUAUGUCACUUCAUUCUUAACAACUCAAAGAGACAGGUACUAUUAUUAUCCCCUUUUACAGAUGAAUAAAUUGAGGCACUGAGAGGUUAAGUCAUUUUUUAGUACCAUAGAUAGUACGUUGCAUGCCAAGAUUAUUCUAAAAUGCAAAUUUAUUUAUUUAGGGCCACAUGUGCAGCAUAUGGAAGUUCCCAGGCUAGGGUCAAAUUGGAGCCACAGCCACAGUCACAGCUACGCUGGAUCCAAGCCACGUCUGUGACCUACACUGUAGCUCUCAGUAAUACCACAUCCUUAACCCACUGAGUGGGGCCAGGGAUCGAACCUGCAUCCUCAUGGAUACCAGUCUGUUCAUUUCCACUGAUCAACAAUGAGAACUCCCCUAAAACACAAAUUUUAAUUAUGCUAUACAUUGUUCUAAAACCCUUAAAGACUCCCCAUCCUCUUAAUACAAAAACUCAAAUUCUUUAGCACAGUGGUACAGAUCAUAAGAUCCAAGUUCCCUGUGCCAGCUUUGCCUCUGGGUUUUUGUACAUGCUGUUUUUUCAGCCAGAAGCUCCCCUUCCCCUACAUGUUUCCCCUCCUGACUUUUCUCUAUGCCUUAUAACCCCUAUUCAUUCUUCUAAAAGAAUUGUCUCAUAGGUGGAUGCCUUGCUCUGCCCUCUGCAGCUCAGGUAGCUGCCUGUGGUAGACACUGUGUACUGCCCGAUCCCCUUUGAUGAAGGACUUAGCCCAGUUACUGGGGGUGCUAGCAGACAGUCCUCAGCUAUCAGCUCUGUGGGAGAAUGGCUUCAGCUGAAGAAAGCUGUCCAACCCAAAGUCAUUCCCACUUCUGGGGCUACUCUUGUCCCAAGAUGCAACAAAUAGGGGUGUAAAAGCUGAGACCCCUGGCCCCAACCUGGGGAAAAGUUGAACGGCCAUUCCAGGCCCUGAGUUACCCAAAGGGUCAGCCUUUGACCAGUCCCAAUUCCUCCCUCUUCUUCCCUAAGUUUUGAUCCCAAGAUCUUCUGAACACCCUGCACAUUAAUCUCUAUCUCUGAAUCUGCUUCCUAGGGAAGCCCUCAGUGCUCAUGUCUCCCCAGCUAGGCUCCCUGAGGACUCAGUGACCCAGGGCUGGGGCACUACUGGAAAAAGGCACCAGUUCCCAGGAGCCCCAACCCCAGGGGUGCAGCUCUUUAAAUGCAGGGCAGUAAGUGACAAAACCUUCUGCCUCCAUUGAUCCACCUGGUCAUGGCUUCUUAACCAGAUAAUUCAUCUCCAGGUGGCCCUGGACUUCCUGACCCUAGGCAGGCCAUUAAUUUGGUGACUCUUGCUGACCUCCAGUACUCACCUGCCCCCUAACCCCCCCCCCCCGGAAACCCCGUACUGUGAGGCCAGAGCAUUCAUUUCAGAAGGCAGAGGGUGGGGAUAUAUGGCAGUGGGUUGUAAUCCCAAUCACACACUGUGACGUCUCUGAAAAAAAGUUACUCAUACUCCAACUGCUCUCAGUCAAGAUAAUGUGGACCCCCUCCCUCAGACCUCACAUCCUUGAAUUGUUAACUUCAAAUCCUGAACUCUUGAUCCUCGAAUUAAAGAAAUAGCACAGUGUCUUGAAAAGGCACAGCUUUGGAAUCAACUAAAUCUGAGUUCAACUCCUAAGUCUUCCCUGUAUGAGUCACUUCAGCUACCUAAAGCCUCAUUUCCUUGUUCAUGGAACAGAUGUGGUGACAAUCCUAUCUCACAAGGUUGUUGUUUGUUCAUUUCUUUGUUUUGCUUAAGGGCCAUAACCGUGGCAUAGGAGUUCCCAGGCUAGGGGUUGAAUCAGAGCUACAGUUGCCAGCCUACACUACAGCAAUGCCAGAUCCAAGCUGUGCCUGCAAUCUAUACCAUAGCUCAUGGCAAUGCCAGAUCCUUAACCCAUGAGUGAGGCCAGGGAUCGAACCUGCAUCCUCAUGGAUACUGGGUGGGUUCCAAACUUGCCGAGCCACAACAAGAACUCCCAUUGUUUUGUUUUUAAUCGAGGCACCACAUGUAAGACACUCAGCACACAGGGGCUGCUCAGUAGCUGAUAGAUCUUGUCUUCUAAACUUGAGAAUUCUGUAUCCCUAAAGCCGGAAGCAUAAUAAAGUCAGAAGCAGAACUCUCACUUUCAUAGAGUUGUGAAACUAUGUAUCAGGCACUGUUCUAAGCACCCUACUAAUUCCAAGUCAAUCCUAUCAACAAUCCUGUGAGGUAGGUACCACUAUUAAUCUCAUCUUGUCGAUGAGGAAAUGUGGCACAGAGAAAUUAAGGAAUUUGCCUGAGGUCACACAGCUAGGAUGAGGUGGAGCCAGAAUUAUAACCGAGGCAGUUGGCUCUGGAUCAAUGCACUGAGGGUGGAAGGAGCACAUUCUACACCCAGUAGGCUCUCAAGGAAGCUUGUUGAUGUUGAGAAGGAAGAGGAGGAGGAAGGAAGGGUCACUGGGCAGAUAAGAAGGGAAGUUGAGGGAACAGGUGAAGGGCUAUCAACCAAAAAAUAUACUUGGCAAGAGUGGGACUGAGAAUAUGAAAGGUCUUGGGGAUGGGCCAUCUCUGGGCCUGGAGGAGCUGGGACUCUGACCAGAGCAGGGCAGAGAGCACAAGGCAUUGUGGUGGAAUGUCUUGGUGAUAUAAUCAACAUUUGUAAGUUGGAGGUCAGUAUGCAUGCAUGUAUUUAGUGCCUGUGGUCUCAACUGGAGCCUCUUGCAGGGGGAAAUCAGGGAAGGCUUCCUGGAAGAGGCAGCAUCUGAAUGUGGCUUUAAAAGAUAUAGAAUGUGUUUGGUGGGAAAGCAGGAAACUGCAGACCUGUCAAGGAAGGUGGCCAGUCCUGAAAGGCUUGUGGGGGGUGGGAGUGAGAGUGGUGGAAGGGGUAAGUUGCAGCCCACUGUGGAGAGUUCUGAAUGCCAUGCUGAAUUGUCUUGGUCAAUAGAGCACUUGCUCAGAGUAAUGCUUCAGAAAGAAUAAUCAGGCAGCAGCAGAUGAAGGGCAAAGAUGAGGAGGAGGGGCUCUGACAGGGGAAUACCCUGAGGACCACCCACUCCCUGCAUCUGUAUGAAGUCCUCUCCCCCCCUUCCCUGGUCCUCUGACUGAAUGGUUAUCCUGGGGGAAAGGAGAAGGGGGCACCACAGAGUCAGUCUCCUGGGUCUCCUAUUCUUGGAAAGUGCCUGCCACACUGGCUGCAGCCCAAGUGGGAACUGGAGCCUGAGAGUGCAGGUGGGACGGGUGUGGAAAGACGGGAGUAGAGAGAGCCUAAGUGUGGCAUAUAGUGGCCACAUUGUAUCUUGAUCCAUUAACUAACAGACAGAGAUACUCAGAGAGAUGCAGAAAGGGAAGAAGAAGAAAAGGUGCCUCCAGGAGAGGGAGGAUUGACC